rnacentral:rRNA from 1 species
UACAGAGGUCCCAAGCGUUGUUCGGAUUCACUGGGCGUAAAGGGUGCGUAGGUGGUCGGGUAAGUCUGAGGUGAAAUCUCCGAGCUCAACUCGGAAACUGCCUUGGAUACUGUUCGGCUUGAGGGUUGGAGGGGGGACUGGAAUUCUCGGUGUAGCAGUGAAAUGCGUAGAUAUCGAGAGGAACACCAGUGGCGAAGGCGAGUCCCUGGACAACUCCUGACGCUGAGGCACGAAAGCUAGGGGAGCAAACAGG